CUGGCUCUGAGGACAGAAACAUGGGCCCUGUGGGCUGCGUCUUCCUGCUGCCCCUUCUGCUGGGGAUCUCAGGCACAGAUGAGGAGGAACCAAAGAAUCUCGUGACGUCAAUCUGUGGGCAGCCCGCGGUCUUACCUGGCACUGCCUCAGGCACAGAGGCCAACGUGGGGCAGUGGUCCUGGCAGGUCAGCAACCGCCAGGGCUUGUUUCACAUCUGUGUGGCCACCCUCAUCUGAAAGCAGUGGGUACUGACAGUGGCAAGCUGCUUCUGGUCUAAGGACACCAGAAAAUACAAGGUAUUGGUGGGGUCACUUCAGGUCUCUGGUCACCAAGACUCCAAAACGAUGAUCAUCACCGUGUCCAGGAUUGUUCCGUACCCCGAGUUCCAGAGAAAUGCAUCCAGCGCCAUUGCUGUGGCAGAACUGGCCCACCUGGUUUCCUUUGGCCCCACUGUCCUGCCCAUCUGCCUCCCUUCAUCGGCAGUCCAGCUGAAGAACUCAACCUCCUGCUGGGUGACUGGAUGGGGCAAUUCUGGGAUAUCCCAAUGUGAGGAUAAGUAGACUUUCUGAGCUGUUUCCUCCACUGACAGUCCCUCCCCCUACUCUCUAUCCCACUCCUGGCACCAGAUACGGUGCGCUCUCGCUCUCUGGCAAUUAAUCCGAGGUACUGCGGACUUCAGUUCUCCUCGACCCCCAGCUUCCCUCUGCCUCCUUCAUACUUCUGCUGCUGUAAUUGCUUUGCUUAUUUACAUCUGCUUCUGCUCUUGUUUCACAAUACUACUAAGACCUUAAAAGUAAAAAGGACAGGGCAAUGAAUUUAAGGAGAGUUGUCAGUUCUCCUUCGGCACCUGGGUAGAGUGUGUGUGGGUAGGUGGGUAGGGGGAAGUAGACACAAAGAUGGAUCCAGGAAAGUUACGAGUGCUCAGCAGGUCCCAAGUCAGACUAGGAGAGUAGGGCUUCAUGUAUCAAUAGUCCUUUUUUUUUUUUUUUAAAUUUAUUU